AUUGAACGCUGGCGGCAUGCCUUACACAUGCAAGUCGAACGGCAGCACGGGAGCAAUCCUGGUGGCGAGUGGCGAACGGGUGAGUAAUAUAUCGGAACGUGCCCAGUCGUGGGGGAUAACGUAGCGAAAGCUACGCUAAUACCGCAUACGAUCUACGGAUGAAAGCGGGGGAUCGCAAGACCUCGCGCGAUUGGAGCGGCCGAUAUCAGAUUAGCUAGUUGGUGGGGUAAAAGCUCACCAAAGCGACGAUCUGUAGCUGGUCUGAGAGGACGACCAGCCACACUGGAACUGAGACACGGUCCAGACUCCUACGGGAGGCAGCAGUGGGGAAUUUUGGACAAUGGGCGCAAGCCUGAUCCAGCAAUGCCGCGUGCAGGAUGAAGGCCUUCGGGUUGUAAACUGCUUUUGUACGGAACGAAACGGUGAGCUCUAAUAAAGCUUGCUAAUGACGGUACCGUAAGAAUAAGCACCGGCUAACUACGUG
rnacentral:rRNA from 1 species